rnacentral:rRNA from 1 species
UACAGAGGUCCCAAGCGUUGUUCGGAUUCAUUGGGCGUAAAGGGUGCGUAGGCGGCGCGGUAAGUCGGGUGUGAAAUCUCGGAGCUUAACUCCGAAACUGCAUUCGAUACUGCCGUGCUUGAGGACCGGAGAGGAGACUGGAAUUUACGGUGUAGCGGUGAAAUGCGUAGAUAUCGUAAGGAAGACCAGUGGCGAAGGCGGAUCUCUGGACAGCUACUGACACUGAGGCACGAAGGCCAGGGGAGCAAACGGG